UACGUAGGGUCCGAGCGUUAAUCGGAAUUACUGGGCGUAAAGCGUGCGCAGGCGGUUAUGCAAGACAGAUGUGAAAUCCCCGGGCUCAACCUGGGAACUGCAUUUGUGACUGCAUGGCUAGAGUACGGUAGAGGGGGGUGGAAUUCCGCGUGUAGCAGUGAAAUGCGUAGAUAUGCGGAGGAACACCGAUGGCGAAGGCAAUCCCCUGGACCUGUACUGACGCUCAUGCACGAAAGCGUGGGGAGCAAACAGG
rnacentral:rRNA from 1 species